UUACUGAUAGGUUAUUUAAACUGGCAAAUUGUGGUUUUGUUGAUUACUGUUUUGUAUCAGUAAA
rnacentral:tRNA from 1 species